GUGCGCGCCCUCAGAGCCAGAGUGGCUCGGAGGACGGUGGGAAUGAGGCCCACUGCCGCCAGCGAGCCGCUGGUGGGCCCUCCCCCGCCCGAAGACGAGUUUGACGUCGGCGUGGUGGACUAUAGCUUCCGCGAACUUCGUCCUCUUCGGAGCUGGCGAGGAGAACGACUCCAUGUCGCUUCGACGUCGAAAAAGGUUUGGGCCUCUCAGUGGGACCGCCCCGACCAAGAGGGCCCUGAGACCUCCAGGAGAAGCUCGUCAGGGUCUUCGGAAAGGUCGUCACGGAGCUGAGUCUCGUUUGCAACGCACAUGACGAGCCUGUGAUAGGUAACUAGUACGGUGUACAUUUUAGGACAUCCUCAGACCUCAGUCAUCAAAUGAAAAGGCGUCAUGCCUCAGACUAAAAGGCUUCAGUCAUCGGACAAAACGGCAUCGCGUCUCUGACUGAAAAGCUUCAGGUCUCAGGAAAAACGACGUCAGGUGUCAGGUCUCAUACAAUUAACGUUAGGCAUCAGACGAAACAGACUCAGAAAAAAAGUCAUCAGACGAAACGGACUCAGACAAAAAGUCAUCAAACGAAAAGGACUCAGGUGGAGAAUCGCGUUGCCCCGCCCCAUGUGACGUCACACGCACGCCGUUCACAGGAAGUAGUAAUGGUUGAUUGAUGGCAAAAGGAGGUAAGCAGCGUCUGAUAUUUUAUAUUUUAUUCAAAUGUUACACUAAUUAAGUUAUAUAGGGAAGAGAACAUGCUUUUCGAGAGUAUUGUGUGCACGUUUAAGAAGUUAGUUAGCCAUAUUGCAACUAGCCAGCUUUUAUUUUGGCCAAGUAGUAAAAUUACCCUUACGAAAAAAAAACAUGAUUUUACUAUCAAAAACCACAAAUAAAUAAAUAAAUAAAUAAAUAAAACACAUGGUCGAUAUAGUUAAAUCAUGGUAUCCACAGAUUAACCAUGGUUUUGCUACUCACCAUAGUUUAACCAUGGUGUUUGUAGUAAAACUGUGGUUAUACAAAUGGUACGUUAAUCAUUACACUAAAAAAACAAUGUUACUACACUUUUACUAUAAUAAAACCACAAUGCAUUAAAUAUAGAAAAACUGUUGUUUCAUCUCAUAAAUAAUUAUAACAAUUAUACGUAUAAAACUUAUACUUAUUUAACUUUAUAAUGGUUUAUAAGUCUUAUAUCGUGACAUUAUUUAUUUAAAAUAUAUACAGUAUCUUACUAUCUUAUUGAUAUUACAAUAAAUAUUGUUAAAAUCAAAAGUGCCAUAUUACACAUUCAUCUAAUCAGAUAUUUGAUAUGUUGGUUGUUUAAGGAAAAAUAAUAUUUUUAUUUUCAUUAUUAUUGUUGUAAUUAUGUAUAGUGGUAUUUGCCUGCUUUGAGUAAAGUAACAAAACAACAAUGCCAAGAUAUGAGACUUGUAUUAUAUCUAAGGGAAACAUUCUAUUGUAAGUUAAGUGGAUGCAUUAUAUUCAUUGCGUAUUAUAAAUCAUAAUCUUAAAUGCUAUAACCACAAAUAAGUAAACAUUAUAACACAUUAAAACUGUUGUUAUGAUUACUCAUGAGAUGAUAUGACAUAUUACAAAGUUUUUUUUCUAAUACAUUAUGCAUUCAUCAUAAUGCCAUAAGAAUUCUCUUAUAAUUUGUUUUAAAUACGGGCUUCAUAGGAAGUGUUACCGUUAAGUUUAAUCGAUAAUGUACUUCUUCACUGAUGUUAUACAAUAUCCUUAUACAAAUGGAAAAAAAAUGUUUACAGCAUCUAAUGCUUUUAUCUUGGAGUGAAACACAACUAAGAAGAUGAAUAAAAUCAAGUGAGCCACAGAGAUGGCAUCGUCCAAGAGCACAGGCAUUUCAUCCAGAGGCAGCGAGUGAACUUUGUGUCCUGAAACCAGAAUCAGUUGGGAAGAAUGGAACCAAGUCUACCCAAUUAAAAGGCUUACACAGGUCCCCUUCCAGAUGCUGAUGUCUUGGCUUCUGGUGCAAAACUACGUCAGAUUAAUCCCAAGCCUUUGCUGCCGCAAAUACUUGAGGGCAUGUCAAAAGUAGAGUUGUACCUCUUGGCAGUCCACUUUCAUUCCAGUGUCCCCGUAUAGCUGCAGGUGUUCCUGAUCUUAAUUUCCCCCCACUACCUGUGCUUGGUUUUCAGUUUGGCUGUAAUUUUAAAUUUGGCCAGACGGACGAGUGCAUGAUCCAUCUGAAACAUUCGUUUGGACUAGUGGAGGUAAAAAGCACCUCUGCUGAAAACAUUGCUCAGGUUCCAUUUAUGAAAAUUCAAAGAGGACUAGCCAAACUUAAAGAGACCCAUAAGUACUACUGGCAGGUACAAGGUCAGACUGCAGUGACUGGUCUACACUGGUGUGACUUUGUGACUGACACACAAUCAGAUUUCAUAAUACAGAUGAUCUGGCGAGAUGAUGCCUUCAUAACAUCAAUGAAAGUACUGUUAUAACGUUUAUCUGGAUGUGUAUCUUUCAGUGGUAUGAAUGGACAGAUUCUGUUCAUAUUAUAGUAUGAACCUAAGAUUUAUUUUUACAUUCAUAGUAAAUAUAUACUUUAUGUAGUUGAGUAGUAUGUAGCAUAUUUUGUAGUAGAUCUUUGAUAACAUAUUAGAUACAUCACAAAUUAUAACAAUAAAUAUAUUGUACUUGCUAUUAAUUAGAUAAAUGUACAUACCAAGGUGAAUACUUUUUGUAUGAAAUCUUCUGUAAUGUAUAUGAUAUGCAUAUUCUUUUACUACUUGCGUAUAUUUACAUUUGAUACAUUGUGUGAUAUAACAAAGAAGAUUUUUUUCAUGAGUUAUUAUAAAAAUACUUUUCAUUGUCAACUA